rnacentral:lncRNA from 1 species
GAGAGACUGGGCUGGUCCUUGCUGGUUGGGCAGUUGACCAAACAGAGUCCCCUCCCAGCAGAAGAAGGGNGGAGCUGAGCCAGCCCAGNUUUAGAGCAAGGCACCCAUCUCUGGUUUCCAGUCAUGACCAGUUGAGGUCAUUGUGUGUUGACGUUGUAUGUUACCCAGAACACAGACACCANCAGCAGCAGGCCAACCCCAGGAACAACCNACUGGCCACCAUCAUGAUCAUUUCUUCAAUUGUUCUAUUCAGCACCCCUGUGAUGCAGUCAUCCCAGGCCCAUUGGGUACAGCAGCAAACAUCAUGGGGUAAUGACGCAGAUGACCACGUAAACUAGAGACAUCUGCAGGUCCUGCGGCUAUAUUGGACAUGAGAUGUUCAUCAGACACUUCAGGCUCCCAAGGUCUUGAGUCUCACACAGGUUCCACAGGCCCUCCCAAAUGCUCGUGUCUUCAGAAAGACUCUUCAAACACCAGAUGGGCAAGCCACAGCUCACAUUUGGAGCCUAGCCAGCCCAGCAUGGCCAGAGAGAAGCUGGUCGCAUCUGAUUCUGGGCAAGCCAUAGCUCACUGUCUGCUGGACUCAGGACACAGGAGACAGUGAGGGUCUGACUCUCAGCUGCAGGAUUCUAAGGGCUGAAGGUGAACUUUGACGAGACCUGAGACCCAGCCCCAGGAACANGUGUCUCUACAGAGUCAGACAUGCUGCCAGCAGGUAUGACAUCAGUAGCUGAUAAGGGGACCUGGUGAAGAAGAUUAAGCUAAUACGAGGUUUGGCAGAGGAAGGAGUUUCAGAGCAAUGGCCUCCUGUGAUCACAUCUCUGUUGAAAGGAAAAGAAUGGACUCAGGACCCCCCAA